GACGUAGGGUGCAAGCGUUGUCCGGAUUUAUUGGGCGUAAAGAGCUCGUAGGCGGCUUGUUGCGUCGACUGUGAAAACCCGCGGCUUAACCGCGGGCUUGCAGUUGAUACGGGCAGGCUAGAGUUCGGUAGGGGAGACUGGAAUUCCUGGUGUAGCGGUGAAAUGCGCAGAUAUCAGGAGGAACACCGGUGGCGAAGGCGGGUCUCUGGACAGUUCCUGACGCUGAGGCACGAAGGUCAGGGGAGCAAACGGG
rnacentral:rRNA from 1 species